CCGUGCCCUGUUUUUCGGUGUGAGGCAGCGACGGCGAGACUGAGAUCCUGGUGUCGUGGGCACCUGAGCUCUAGCUCCCCUCGGCGAGCGCUCGUCCCUUCGUGCCUAGGCGAGAGCCGGCUCUUCCCCGGGAGAUGCGUUUGUCCCAGGCUCGGGGGCUCAGUGGGAGUUCAUGCUGCGCUGGAGGCUCUUGGCCACCGCUCUAAUCGCCUUGUGCUGCCGCAGCGCCAGCUCCGUCGCCAGCGGUGAGCCUCCCGAUUCCCCCCCUUGCCCCUGGCGGCGGCGAUGACCGGGGAGAAGAUCCGCUCACUGCGGAGGGACCACAAGCCCAGCAAAGAAGAAGGGGACCUGCUGGAGCCCGGGGAUGAGGAAGCGGCGGCUGCCCUCGGCGGCACCUUUACCAGAAGCAGGAUUGGCAAGGGCGGCAAAGCUUGUCAUAAGAUCUUCAGUAACCAUCACCACCGGCUCCAGCUGAAGGCAGCUCCGGCCUCCUCCAAUCCCCCCGGCGCCCCGGCUCUGCCGCUGCACAAUUCCUCCGUGACUGCCACCUCCCAGUCCCCGGCCCUUCUGGCCGGCACCAACCCCGUUGCUGUCGUCGCGGAUGGAGGCAGUUGCCCCGCACACUACCCGGUGCACGAGUGCGUCUUCAAGGGGGAUGUGAGGAGACUCUCCUCUCUCAUCCGCACGCACAAUAUCGGACAGAAAGAUAAUCACGGAAAUACUCCUUUACACCUUGCUGUGAUGUUAGGAAAUAAAGAAUGUGCCCAUUUACUUUUGGCUCACAAUGCUCCAGUCAAGGUGAAAAAUGCUCAGGGAUGGAGCCCUCUGGCGGAAGCCAUCAGCUAUGGAGAUAGACAGAUGAUUACAGCUCUUUUGAGGAAGCUUAAGCAGCAAUCCAGGGAAAGUGUUGAAGAAAAACGACCUCGAUUAUUAAAAGCCCUGAAAGAGCUAGGUGACUUUUAUCUAGAACUUCACUGGGAUUUUCAAAGCUGGGUGCCUUUACUUUCCCGAAUUCUGCCUUCCGAUGCAUGUAAAAUAUACAAACAAGGUAUCAAUAUCAGGCUUGACACAACUCUCAUAGACUUUACUGACAUGAAGUGCCAACGAGGGGAUCUAAGCUUCAUUUUCAAUGGGGAUGCGGCGCCCUCUGAAUCUUUUGUAGUAUUAGACAAUGAACAAAAAGUUUAUCAGCGAAUACAUCAUGAGGAAUCAGAGAUGGAAACAGAAGAAGAGGUUGAUAUUUUAAUGAGCAGUGAUAUUUACUCUGCAACUUUAUCAACAAAAUCAAUUUCUUUCACGCGUGCCCAGACAGGAUGGCUUUUUCGGGAAGAUAAAACAGAAAGAGUAGGAAACUUUUUGGCAGACUUUUAUCUGGUGAAUGGACUUGUUUUAGAAUCAAGGAAAAGAAGAGAACAUCUCAGUGAAGAGGAUAUUCUUUGAAAUAAGGCCAUCAUGGAGAGUUUGAGUAAAGGUGGAAACAUAAUGGAACAGAAUUUUGAGCCGAUUCGAAGACAGUCUCUUACACCUCCUCCUCAGAACACUAUUACAUGGGAAGAAUAUAUAUCUGCUGAAAAUGGAAAAGCUCCUCAUCUGGGUAGAGAAUUGGUGUGCAAAGAGAGUAAGAAAACGUUUAAAGCUACGAUAGCCAUGAGCCAGGAAUUUCCCUUAGGGAUAGAGUUGUUAUUGAAUGUUUUAGAAGUAAUAGCUCCCUUCAAGCACUUUAACAAGCUUAGAGAAUUUGUUCAGAUGAAGCUUCCUCCAGGCUUUCCUGUAAAAUUAGAUAUACCUGUGUUUCCCACAAUCACAGCCACUGUGACUUUUCAGGAGUUUCGAUACGAUGAAUUUGAUGGCUCCAUCUUUACUACACCUGAUGACUACAAGGAAGACCCAAGCCGUUUUCCUGAUCUUUAACUGACGUGGAAAAGGAUGCCGUCUAACCAAGGAAAGAAAAUUCAGAGACCCUAGAAGUGGAUCCAAAUAGAAGGGACAAAUGCUCUCAGUGAAGAAAAGGGAAUUGCACAUUGAAUCGACACAUCAGUAAUAUGAUACAGUGAAAUGGGCCUCUACUAAGAAUUUCAGCGAGUUUUCUGAUGUGCCAUUUUUGGUCUUUUUAAAAAUAUACAUAUUAUAAUUGUAAUAGUUUGACACAUUAAUGACCCUAAGACCUUCGUAUGUAAAGCAGCUCUGAGUGCUGUGAUUUGUUUUUAAAAAUUUUUACACUUCUUGUUGAAAUAUAUAUGCAUAUAAAUAUAUCUAUAUCUAUAUCUAAAACACUCCUGGACCAUUAACGUAAAUUAAAUGUCUUAAGAGAUAUGGAGCCCCUUUAAACUUGUCAUCUUUAUGCAAGGUGACAUUUAUAAAUAUUCCUUCGAGCUUUGUUUUCAUAAAAUGUAAACUAUGUAACAUUAUGUAUAGUUCAGUAAUUUGAAUGUUUGUUCAAUAUAAUGAACUAGAAGGAAUGCAAUUUUCUGUAGAUGAAUGAACCAAAUGGUAACCAUUAAACAAUUGCAUUUAUAUGUUGCAAUACAUUUCAGAAGGAGCGUUCACUCUGCAGGGAAUAAGGUACCUCCUUUAGCACCUUAGUGCAAUUCAUUGUGGUGCUAUUUGUUUUUACCUGAAUGUUUGUUACUAAUCUUCCUUUCAUAGAACCUCUAUUUUUUUUUUCUAAACUCGAGUUUGAGUCCUUGUUACGUUCAUCAUAAGGUAAUGGUUAGCAUGUUUAAAGUAUUCCUCUUCCAAAUCUCAGCACUUUAAAAAAAUUCCAAAUUUUUAAACUUGCUUCCUAAUAAGUGCACAUCAGUCUGAUUAUUUUGUUUUUAGUAGAAUAUGGAUGCAUUGGUGUCAGUUUUAAAAAACAAUACACAUAUUUUAGACAACCCUACAUAUUUAAUCACUUCAAAAUAAGAUAAAAACAUUUUAUAUGCUAACAGAAUAUAUUUGUUACAAGUUAAGGUCCAGAAGUAUACACAAGAUUGAUUACUCCUAUUUUUUUUUUAAAUCAAGGAAAAUAUUGAUUUCAUUGUCUCCAAAGUGAUAAAAACAUGUAUUACUCAUUUUUGCACUUAAAAUUUUUCUUAUUUAUUCCAAGAUGGUUUGAAGGUCCAAGUAUGAAAAUAAAUUAGGGGGAUUAAUGUAUAACAGUUAUAAAGUAUCAUGUAUUAAAGAGCUUUCUUAGAUCGAU